rnacentral:rRNA from 1 species
UACAGGGGGUGCAAACGUUGCUCGGAAUCAUUGGGCGUAAAGCGCACGUAGGCGGUCUGUUAUGUCGGAUGUGAAAGCCCUUGGCUUAACUGAGGAAGUGCAUCCGAAACUGGCAGGCUAGAGUACUAAAGAGGGUCGCGGAAUUCCCGGUGUAGAGGUGAAAUUCGUAGAUAUCUGGAGGAACACCGGUGGCGAAGGCGGCUUCCUGGCCUGUUCUUGACGCUGAGGCGCGAAAGCUAGGGGAGCAAACGGG